GUGACUUAUCAACAGCUAUAGUAUUUUGAAUCAAUCCGUACAAAAUACAUAAAACUUGAAAUUAAAUACUAAUUAAAACCUCUUACAUCAUCCAUACAAAUUUCACUUUCAACAAAUAUCUAUCAUCUUCAACCCAACACACUUAUUUACAGCCAGGAACUUACCUGUGGAAUGAUUCAAAUAAAAAUUACAUCAAAAGAAAAACCUCAGGAAAAAAACUAAAAUGGGGGCUUUGUCUUCAUUCUUCCAUAUGGCUCUUUGAGGUCUUCGUAAGCUGAAGCCAAACUCAAUCUUUUCUCUUCAAGUUCUUCUAAUUGCUUGAUUGUGUAAACAACAGAAGUCGAGAUAUGCUUCACUAAUUCAAGUGUUUCGUUCUUCUUGGUUUGUUUUUCUGCGUAUAAAACCUCUAGUGCUGACUUCUCCUUUUCCAAGGCUUCAUUUUCUUGUUGAAGCUUAUUUAUAGCUCCCUGGAUUUCUCUUUGUCUCUUUUGGAGGUUUUCAAUCUCAGACUUACUAGUUGAGAUGGCAGUGUCAAACUGUUGAACUUUCAGUUUAGAAUCUUGAAGUUUGUUAUACAAGUCUCUCUUCUUAGAUGCCAGUUUUAUUUGUUUAUCCUCGGUUAGCAUCUUUUCUUGAGAAAUGUUGGCAGCUUUAUCGUAUAGCUCGAUAAAUUUGUCUACACCUUCUUGCUCUUUCGUAAUUUCUCUACGAUAAGCGUGAAGUUUUCGUAGUGAUUCUUCAAUUUGUUGCCGAUAGGAUUGGUCUGGAAGUUUCUCUAGCAAUGAAGUUGAGAACACUAAGGUUCGGAAUUCAUCGAGGACGGUUGUAGCAUCAUUUGCUUGAGCUACCUUUUGAACACAAGUUUCUGAUUGUUUCAGAGGAGGGGAUAGCUCAUUAGAGAGUAAGUCAAGGAUUGCAAAUGGAUUUUCAUACAACUGUUGGAGGCAACUCUCAAGGUCAAAGUACGAGUAUUUAGUAACAAAUUUCUCUGUAUCAUAAGUUUGUACAACUUGCUUAUUCGAUUCUUCUAACCUAUCAUGCAAGUGCUCAGAGCCCCCCUGGGAAGAGGCUUGAAGAGAUGUGCUCUGUAAAUGUUCAUCGGCCACCUGUGAAAUGGGGAAGUCCAAGUUUCACAAAGUAAAAUGGAAAAGCAUAUAAUGCUUCACAAGAGAUUUCAGCCUCUUAGUUAUUAAAGAACACUUCGAAGGGACCCAUCAAGUGCUAAACAGGGAGAAAUGAAUUGAAUUUUGUGGAGAAAACAAGGUUGGUUGUUGCAGGCGGAAAUUAUUUGAUGCAAGUAUAUACAAAUCUUUGCUUUGGUUUCAUAGGGAAUCUGUGAAACAGCAUAAAAACCAAGCCUUGAUGGACCCUCUUUGGAUCUAUGCACCAGAACAUGCUUCUAUUAUCGAUAAGUGCUAUGUCCUUUCGCUUUCGAAAGUUUUAUUGAGAUCAACUUUAGUUAGGUAGGAUUAGCCACAAAUUCUCCACUAAUUGGUUCUAUUAUUCUCAGUGUUGUUUUAGGUUGUUAAUCUUGGACAUUUCAUACACCUAAAUUUUUUCUUUAUGAUGAAAACUCUGCUGUUACGUUUUUGUAUGUUUUUAAAUACUUUCAAAUAUGAUAAAAAAAUUCAAAAUAAAAGAUACUUACAAUUUUUGUAGACUCUCUAGAUUUUUCUUUGGGACCUCUUCCAGCAAUGCUCAGGGUUUCCUUGCAAGUAGAUUCAGUGUUCUCUAGCUCAAUCAUCUCUACUACCUCUGAUUGUGUGACUAAACAUAGAAGAAAAUUAUGAGCAGGAGAAAAAAAGGAAUCAGCAAGAAAGAAAACCCAAAACGAUAGAUACAUAUGCUUUGCAUGAAAAACCUUUUAGUAAUCUUUAUGAUUAAUUAUUCUCCUCUAGUGAUGGAUUUAGACUUCUUGUCCAAUUUCCCCCUUGUUCCAUUCCAUCACAUAUUUUAUUCGGUAUUUAUUCUUACUUUAUCCCCUCCACUAUUAAUGCUUUAAUAUGGUAUCUGGAACAUAAAUGGCUUUUGAGGGACUAGGAGAGUAAAACUAAAGUGAAGAGAAAC
rnacentral:sRNA from 1 species